rnacentral:rRNA from 1 species
UGGGGAAUCUUGCACAAUGGGGGCAACCCUGAUGCAGCGACGCCGCGUGAGCGAUGAAGCCCUUCGGGGCGUAAAGCUCUUUCGACCGGAACGAUAAUGACGGUACCGGGAGAAGAAGCUGCGGCUAACUACGUGCCAGCAGCCGCGGUAAUACGUAGGCAGCAAGCGUUGUUCGGAGUUACUGGGCGUAAAGAGUGCGUAGGCGGUUUUCUAAGUUCGGUGUGAAAUCUCCCGGCUUAGCUGGGAGGGUGCGCCGAAGACUGGGAAGCUGGAGUGGGGGAAAGGCAGGCGGAAUUCCUGGUGUAGCGGUGAAAUGCGUAGAUAUCAGGAGGAACACCGGCGGUGUAGACGGCUUGCUAGACCAUAACUGACGCUGAGGCACGAAAGCGUGGGUAGCAAACA